GGAGCCUUUCUCUCCGUUCUCCUUAAGGUUUCGGAGCAGCACUGGCAGCCAAGUGCAAACAGACCGCGUGCCUGGCGUACAGAGCCGGGAGCAGGAGAGGCGUUCCGAGGCUGCCCGGGGCUCCCCCGGCCGGGCUCAGGUACCGAGGGGCGGAGGAAGCGCGCCCGGCCCGCGCUCCGGCCGCGCGACUGCAGGUGGCCAGCGGCGCUGUCCAGCACGAGCGCCCAGCCCCGGCGCCCAGCCCCAGCGCCCAGCCCCAGCGCCCAGCCCGCCGACGCGCAGCAACGGGGCUCUCGCCCGGGACGCCGUCCUCGGUCGCCGCCUCCCGGCCCGGGGCUCCCCCGAGCGUCCGCGGCCUCGACCCAGGCCCACCGUCAGCCCCGCCCCCCGCCCGAGCUCCCCGCAGGCUGCGCGCAGACACGUUGCCGCUGCCCUUCCCUGGUACGCGCGUCCUCUGGGCCGGGCGGGCUGCGCCGACUGGCCUUUCCCCUUGGCCUCAGAACUUCCAUAAACUCGGAGGAGGGCAGGGAGACGGCAGCCGCGUCCCCGAGGUUCCGGAGGGAGGCGUCCCGCCCCCGCCUGCCCCCCGCUGCGUCUCCCGCGGGCGCGGGCCGGGGCGAGGCGCUGGGGCCCUUUGGCCCGAUCCGAGCCACCGCGCGCCCCUCCUUGGAGGCGGCGGAGGGGGCGACGGGGAGGGCGCGCGGGGGACGGCGGCCGAGUGUCCUCGUUGCUCCCGAAACGUGGCGACAGGCGAGGCAGAGACUCGCAAUGAGUAUGAUGGCGACACGUGAUACCGGCGGAGGGAGCGCGUGGGGGGGGGGGGACGAUAAAGGGAGAAGGAGGGAGGCGGGCGGCGAGGGGCGGGAGGACAGAGGGAAGGGGGGCGCGAUCGGCGCGGGCGGCCGAAGCUCAGCCUCCCGGCCCGCCGCCCGCCGCCCGCCGCCCGCCGCCCGCGGUCGCGCACUCGCAGCCUCCCCGCCGGCGCGAGCGGAGCCCCAGGAGCGCAGAGGCGGCGCCGCGAGCAGCAGCAGCGGAGGCGGCGGCCCCUCGCCUCACCCCGCCGCCGCCGCCGCCGCCGCCGCCGCCGCGCCCGGGCCGCAAGUUCCCGCCAUGAGCAGCCGCCUCUGCGGGCUCCGCGGCUCCGGGGACCCCCUCCCGGCCGGGCGCCGCCGCAGCGCCCCGCGGCCCCGACGCGCCUGA
rnacentral:lncRNA from 1 species